CAGACUGUGCAGUGUCCAUAGAUAAAGGUGUCUUCACCUGGGAUGCUGACCUGCCAUUCCGACUUAGCGGAAUCAACAUUGAGAUCCCUCGAGGAAGUUUUGUGGCCGUCGUGGGCCCCGUCGGGUGUGGCAAGAGCUCUCUACUGUCCGCCAUACUUGGUGAGAUGGACCGUCUCCAGGGUAACGUUUAUACAUCGGGAAACAUAGGCUACGUACCCCAAACAGCAUGGAUUCAGAACUCGACAUUGCAGGAGAACAUUUUGUUUGGCGCCAGCAUGAACUUUAAAAGGUAUAACAAGGUCAUAGAUUCAUGCGCGCUCAGGCCUGACCUUGACAUUCUUCCCGGAGGAGAUAAAACUGAAAUUGGGGAAAAGGUAUGAUGCCAUAGCUUAUAGUACACAGUUCAUAUAUACACACACACAUGGAUCUAAAUUAACA
rnacentral:sRNA from 1 species